rnacentral:rRNA from 1 species
UACGUAGGUGGCGAGCGUUGUCCGGAUUUAUUGGGCGUAAAGAGCUCGUAGGCGGCUUGUCACGUCGGGUGUGAAAGCCCGGGGCUUAACCCCGGGUCUGCAUUCGAUACGGGCUGGCUAGAGUGUGGUAGGGGAGAUCGGAAUUCCUGGUGUAGCGGUGAAAUGCGCAGAUAUCAGGAGGAACACCGGUGGCGAAGGCGGAUCUCUGGGCCAUUACUGACGCUGAGGAGCGAAAGCGUGGGGAGCGAACAGG